rnacentral:rRNA from 1 species
UACGGAGGAGGCAAGCGUUAUCCGGAAUUAUUGGGCGUAAAGCGUCCGUAGGUGGCUCUUCAAGUCUGCUGUCAAAGAGCGGGGCUUAACCCUGCAAAGGCAGUGGAAACUGAAAGGCUAGAGAGCCGUAGGGGUAGAGGGAAUUCCCGGUGUAGCGGUGAAAUGCGUAGAGAUCGGGAGGAACACCUAUUGCGAAGGCAGCUCGCUGGGACGUAACUGACGCUGAGACGCGAAAGCGUGGGGAGCAAACAGG